rnacentral:rRNA from 1 species
CCUACGGGUGGCAGCAGUGGGGGAUAUUGCACAAUGGGGGAAACCCUGAUGCAGCGACGCCGCGUGGGUGAAGAAGCGCCUCGGCGCGUAAAGCCCUGUCAGCAGGGAAGAAAAUGACGGUACCUGAAGAAGAAGCACCGGCUAACUACGUGCCAGCAGCCGCGGUAAUACGUAGGGGGCAAGCGUUAUCAGGAUUUAAUGGGUGUAAAGGGGGCGCAGACGGCGAUGCAAGCCAGGAGUGAAAGCCCGGGGCCCAACCCCGGGACUGCUCUUGGAACUGCGUGGCUAGAGUGCAGGAGGGGCAGGCGGAAUUCCUGGUGUAGCGGUGAAAUGCGUAGAUAGCAGGAGGAACACCGGUGGCGAAGGCGGCCUGCUGGACUGCAACUGACGUUGAGGCCCGAAAGCGUGGGGAGCAAACAGGAUUAGAUACCCCAGUAGUC